GCCCGCCUAGCUCAAUCGGAUAGAGCGUCAGACUUUUAAAGAAGGCGGGGGAGAUCUGAAGGCUGCGAGUUCGACCCUCGCGGUGGGCU
rnacentral:tRNA from 1 species